UACGUAGGGGCCCAGCGUUGUCCGGAAUCAUUGGGCGUAAAGCGCGCGUAGGCGGCCAGACAAGUCCGGUGUGAAAGUCAAAGGCUCAACCUUUGAAUGUCAGUGGAUACUGCCGGGCUAGAGUCCGGAAGAGGCGAGUGGAACUCCUGGUGUAGCGGUGGAAUGCGCAGAUAUCAGGAAGAACACCAACGGCGAAGGCAGCUCGCUAGGACGGUACUGACGCUGAGACGCGAAAGCGUGGGGAGCGAACAGG
rnacentral:rRNA from 1 species